rfam:Triticum urartu cultivar G1812 contig517846, whole genome shotgun sequence.
CAUAUACUCCCUCCGUCCGGAAAUACUUGUCAUCAAAAUGAAUAAAAGGGAAUGUAUCUAGAUGUAUUUUAGUUCUAUAUACAUCCCUUUUUAUCCCUUUUGAAGAGAAAUAUUUUCGGACUAAGGAAGUAUUUU